ACCAUCCUUGUCUUGGGUUGUGAGACUGUACGAUGAAUGAAUAGUGAGAACAGUCCUGCUGACACCACAACUGCAUCACUAGUGCAAAUGCAUUAGCAAGAUGCAAUUUUUGGAAUC